AAUUUUGUCUGCUUUGUUUUACAGUGCUGCUGGAGUUCCUGCGUAAUGCCAACUGGUUCCAACUAAGGGACCUCAGGGCAUUCUUUUAGGAUACCCAGAAACUUCAUGUUCCCUUUCACAGCAUGCAAGUGUAAAAGACAGAAGUUGGUUUUUUUUCUCAAGGUUAGUAUACAUCUCUGAGAUUUUUUUUUUCUUUUUUACCACUUGUAAAGUGGAUAAAAGUUUGUGUUUUCUUCUUCUCCUUCUCCUUCUU
rnacentral:lncRNA from 1 species